AAUAAGAGCGUAUGGGGAAUGCCUAGGCUCUCAGAGGCGAAGAAGGACGUGAUAAGCUGCGAAAAGCUGCGGGGAUUGGCACAUACAAAUUGAUCCGCAGGUAUCCGAAUGGGGCAACCCACCAUAUUGAAGAUAUGGUAUCCGCAAGGAGGCAAACCCGGGGAACUGAAACAUCUAAGUACCCGGAGGAAGAGAAAACAAUAGUGAUUCCGAUAGUAGCGGCGAGCGAAAUCGGAUUAGCCCAAACCGAACAGUUUACGGACUGUUCGGGGUUGUAGGACCACGACAUUUGGUGCUUUACGAAUAAGAACACGUUGGAAAGCGUGGCCAUAGACGGUGAUAGCCCGGUAUUAGUAAGGACAGUUACCGAUAGUGGUAUCCUGAGUAGUGCGGGGCACGUGAAACCCUGUAUGAAUCCGGCGGGACCAUCCGCCAAGGCUAAAUACUCCUGAGAGACCGAUAGUGAACCAGUACCGUGAGGGAAAGGUGAAAAGAACCGUGAACAACGGAGUGAAAUAGAACCUGAAACCAUACGCUUACAAGCGGUCGGAGCGGCGCAAGCUGUGACGGCGUGCCUUUUGCAUAAUGAGCCUACGAGUUACUGUUGCCAGCAAGGUUAAGGUCCUUAGGACCGGAGCCGCAGCGAAAGCGAGUCUGAAUAGGGCGCUUUAGUUGGUAGUAGUAGACGCGAAACCGUGUGAUCUACCCUUGGGCAGGUUGAAGUUUGGGUAACACUAAAUGGAGGACCGAACCCGUUGACGUUGAAAAGUCUUGGGAUGACCUGAGGGUAGGGGUGAAAGGCCAAUCAAACUCGGAAAUAGCUCGUACUCCCCGAAAUGCAUUUAGGUGCAGCGUUGAUUUAAAGUUUUAUAGAGGUAGAGCUACUGAUUGGAUGCGGGGGCUUCACCGCCUACCAAUUCCUGACAAACUCCGAAUGCUAUAAAAUGUUGAUCAGCAGUGAGGGCAUGGGUGCUAAGGUCCAUGUCCGAGAGGGAAAGAACCCAGACCAUCAGCUAAGGUCCCCAAAUGUAUGUUAAGUUGAAAAAACGAGGUUGGACUGCACAGACAGCUAGGAUGUUGGCUUGGAAGCAGCCAUUCAUUUAAAGAGUGCGUAACAGCUCACUAGUCGAGCGGUCCGGCAUGGAUAAUAAUCGGGCAUAAACAUACUACCGAAGCUAUGGACUUGUAAUUUAUUAUAAGUGGUAGGGGAGCAUUCUGUUUGCGCCGAAGGUGCGUCGCGAGGCGUGCUGGAGCGGACAGAAAAGAAAAUGUAGGCAUAAGUAACGAUAAUGCGGGCGAGAAACCCGCACUCCGAAAGACUAAGGUUUCCUCAGCUAUGCUAAUCAGCUGAGGGUUAGUCGGGGCCUAACGCGAACCCGAAAGGGGUAGUGGAUGGACAACAGGUUAAUAUUCCUGUACCUGCUCACGUUAAAAGUGACGGAGGCGAAAAUUAGGUGCGCACUGACGGAAUAGUGCGUUGAAGCCAGUGGUAACACGGCGAUAGUACACUGAGGCCUCGGCCAAGGUGAUAAUCCUGAGGAUCGACUUCCAAGAAAAGCGAGUGAAGCAGCCCGUACCCUAAACCGACACAGGUGGUUGGGAUGAGAAUUCUAAGGAGCUCGAGAGAUUCAUGGCUAAGGAACUAGGCAAAAUCGACCCGUAACUUCGGGAGAAGGGUCGCCCCCAGUAAUGGGGGCCGCAGUGAAGAGGUCCAGGCGACUGUUUAUCAAAAACACAGGGCUCUGCAAAAUCGAAAGAUGAAGUAUAGGGCCUGACACCUGCCCGGUGCUGGAAGGUUAAGAGGAGAUGUCAUCCUUCGGGAGAAGCAUUGAAUUGAAGCCCCAGUAAACGGCGGCCGUAACUAUAACGGUCCUAAGGUAGCGAAAUUCCUUGUCGGGUAAGUUCCGAC
rnacentral:rRNA from 1 species